GCAGACAGAGGGGUGGUGUGUGUGUGUGUGUGUGUGUGUGUGCGUGUGCGUGCGUGCGUGCGUGCGUGCGUGUGUGUGUGUGUGUGUCUGUGUGGAUGGAUGUUAGUGAGAUGCUAUCAGGUGUGGAUGGAUGGAUGGAUGUUAGUGAGAUGCUAUCAGGUGUGGAUGGAUGUUAGCGAGAUGCUAUCAGGUGUGGAUGGAUGGAUGUUAGUGAGAUGCUAUCAGGUGUGGAUGGAUGGAUGUUAGUGAGAUGCUAUCAGGUGUGGAUGGAUGGAUGGAUGUUAGUGAGAUGCUAUCAGGUGUGGAUGGAUGUUAGUGAGAUGCUAUCAGGUGUGGAUGGAUGGAUGGAUGUUAGUGAGAUGCUAUCAGGUGUGGAUGGAUGUUAGUGAGAUGCUAUCAGGUGUGGAUGGAUGGAUGGAUGUUAGUGAGAUGCUAUCAGGUGUGGAUGGAUGUUAGCGUGAUGCUAUCAGGUGUGGAUGGAUGGAUGGAUGUUAGUGAGAUGCUAUCAGGUGUGGAUGGAUGUUAGUGAGAUGCUAUCAGGUGUGGAUGGAUGUUAGCGUGAUGCUAUCAGGUGUGGAUGGAUGGAUGGAUGUUAGUGAGAUGCUAUCAGGUGUGGAUGGAUGGAUGUUAGUGAGAUGCUAUCAGGU
ensembl:lncRNA